rnacentral:misc_RNA from 1 species
GUUUUGUUGAAAAGAAUCAGCAUAUAUGUAUACACCUAAAUAUUUAUUGGCCUGAUAUAACCAAUACAAAGACUUCGUUGGUUAUAAAUGAUAGUAGAUACUGCAAUAUCUUUUGUCUCUGAAUAAUAGUCAUAGAGAUUAGAGAUCAUCUUUGCUGGUUUCUCUCUCCACCAUGGAUUAUACUCUUUUUGCUCCCACAUUCUUCUCUUGUUUCUUCUUUUUCUUCUUUUUCUUU